rnacentral:tRNA from 1 species
GGGAUUGUAGUUCAAUUGGUCAGAGCACCGCCCUGUCAAGGUAGAAGCUGCGGGUUCGAGCCCCGUCAGUCCCG